ensembl:lncRNA
GUAAGUGUGACGCAAAAUGAUGUGUCUGUUCAUAUGAAGUUAAAUGCCUUAGUUAAGGGUUGAGCCUGCAACCGAUGACUGAUUACUGAUUUCUUGCUAUCAGAGGAUAGGAAACAGAAUCAUUAUCCAUCCUGUGCGGUGGAGCUAUGAAUACUUGAGUCGUCAAUACAUGCGCUGUAGUCAGUGCAUUUGCAUAUGACGUGUAAUUAUGCAGUUAUAGCAGUCUAAUACAGCCGGGAUGUGCAGACAGUAUGUUUCACACAGACUCCUUAUACGAUUGCUUUUUUUAAAAUAGAUAAAUAAUAAUAAUAAUAAUAAUAAUAAUAAUAAUAAUAAUAAUAAUAAUAAUGAUAAUAAUAAUAAUACAUUUCUAGCAGUUACUUCAAUGAAUCUUGCGUAGGCUAUAUAGGCCUCAUAUAUAGAGUAUAACUCAUAUGGUGUUACGUGAUCAUGCAAAAUGAUGCAAAUUGUUACUAAACGCGUGUUGUUCUUUUGUUCGGCCGUCUUUGUUAGUACACGUAUUUGUGCAUGUAGUGCAUGGGUUUGAAUAGUGUAACUCUAAUGAAUUUUUAUAAUAGAUGUUGGCGAAUCCGAGACUUUAUGAAAUCGCAUUUCUAAUGCAUAGAAUAUAAAGCAAAACAAAGAAGAAGAAGAAAAAAAGAGCAUUCUGAACCUACCGCUCGCCUAACAUGCUGCUGUUUUAAACAAAAAGGGAAAUGAAGAAAACAACACAGCCACAGCCACUGUGAAUGCAAAAGAGAUGCAAAUAUACCUUUUACAUAUGCAUCAAUAUUUAAAAUAACACACAUGUUGGAAGCGUCUGCAGCGAUGAACCGAGCGGUGUCUCAGUGCGCGCGGGCGCCAGUCUUCGCUCCUUCAGCGCGCGCUCCGGAUCCUCACCAUGCAGAUGCUCGCCAUAUUCAAAACAAUAAACAAACACACAUACAUACACACACACACGCACACACCAAAAAACACACACAAUACGCGCCUAUUCUCUUCAAAUGGAAAACGAGCCUCUUCGGAUCCGACGAGGGUAAAAUUUACUCCGAGCGCUGAUAGAAAGGCGACGUAAGGGGAUUUGCAUAUUUGAUGCGCUAAUUUCCUUGAUGUAUUUAAAUAUGGCUGCGCGUAGCAGAGCGGCUUGUCUACGUCACUGGACGUGACCUCGUUGUUAAAUCUAAACGCGAAUCCGCUUGCAAUCAUGGAGAAUUAGAAAGAGGGACAGAAUUACGCGUUGUAACGUCAUUACUAAUUUUCUAAUACAAAAAUAGCUUAUUUAAAAAAAAAAUUAAAUAAAAAACAGUUGAACUUGAACUUGACAUUCAAUACGCUUGCGUAUGUGAUGAGAAAAAAUACAGGUAACAUAAUAAUAAUAAUAAUAAUAAUAAUAAUAAUAAUAAUAAUAAUAAUGUGGGAUGGUCUAAUAAUAGGCUUAUUAAAAGGUUAUGCAUUACACAGUCCGCACUUUUAUUGAAGGAAUGUUCACUUAUUAGUGCCAAGGCCUCUCGCGUGCUUUCUUUUUUAAUGAAUAAAUGAAUGAACAUAGUAUGUGCUUGGUGUCUUAUGACUAAACUUAGACUUCUUGCUCUUUUUUUUUUUUUUUUUUAAAGCGAUGCUUUCUCUUGACAGUAUGUGUUUUUUUUCUCCCUGCUCUAAUAAUGUCCUCGCUGUGUAUAAAGACGGCGAGCGCGUUCCGUCAGUCCGCUCGUGUGGGGCAGAAAAAAAAAGCUCGAGGCAAAUUCAUUAGCGCAGUCAGUGCGUAACCUGCUCUGGGAAACUGGGGGGCUACAGUCCACGCCAAUAAGGGGAACAAUGGCUCCUCAGUUCAAAUCCAACAAAAGACCUGGCCAACUUGUUUGAAUUUCCGAGCACGUCCUUUCUUUCUAUCACAGAGAAGGAGAGGUGCCCCCCUCUUCUGCUGACCCCCUCCCAACACCCCCCAUCUACCCCCACCCUAACACUAAAAAAAAUAAAAUAUAUAUUUUUUAAAUCAUUCCAUGCCAACCCUUCUCCGCUCAACACUGCACUUUUUCCCAUUUGGUGCCGUAGACAAAUAGGUUAUGGGAAACUUCUCGACCCCUCCUCUCUGACCCCCCCCCCCCCCCGUACACCCCCCCAUCUCGCGCUGUCUCUCAGUCUCUCACACACUCUCGCGCUGUCUCUAGCGCGCGUGGACUUACCGGAGCAGGGAAGCACGCGUAAUGAGCUAAGUGUUAGCGGCAAUUUUGAACCACACGCGCACAGGAUGGACUCGUUAGUGAGACGGCGUUUUGCGCACCGGCAACGGAUACUGAAUGUUUGGAAAGACGCUUGGACAGAAAAUAACAGCUCUGAGUCUUCCCCUUUAAUGCCUGAUGAGGUUGGAGAAUACAUGGCAAGGGAUCUGAGACCGUUCCUCCAUACAGACUCUCUCCAGAUUCUCCUUCACAUUUUGAGUGGACUGGUGGAGUCUCCUCUUCAGUUCACCACACAGGUUUUCUGUGGGUUUCAAGUGAGAGGACUGGGAUGACCAUGGCAGGACCUUGAGUUUGUGGUCAGUAAACCAUUAUUGUGUUGAUUUUGAUGUAUGUUUUGGAUCAUUGUCCUGCUGGAAGAUCAACCCACGGCCCAUUUUAAGAUUUCUGGCAGAGUCAUUCUAGUUUUCAUUUAAUAUCUGUUGAUAUUGGUAGAGUCCAUGAUGCUAUGUAUCCUAACAAAUUGUCCAGGUCCUCUGGCAGAAAAACAGCCCCAAAACAUUGAAGAGCCAAUGCCAUAUUUAACAGUGGCCAUGAGGUACUUUUCCAUAUGGCUACCUCUCAGUGUGUGCCAAAACCACCUCUAGGGUUUAUUGCCAAAAAGCUCUAUUUUGGUUUCAUCUGACCACAGAACCUGAUCCCAUUUGAAGAUGCAUUAGAGUCUGGCAAACUGAAGACCCUUGAGUUGUUUUUGGAUGAGAGUAGAGGCUUUUUCCUUUAAACCUUUCCAAACAACUUGUGGUGAUGUAGGUGACUUCAGAUUGUAGUUUUGGAGACUUUCUGACCCCAACACACAACUAACUCCUGCAAUUCUCCAGCUGUGAUCCUUGGAGAUUUUUUGGCCACUCGAACCAUCCUCUUCACAGAGCGUUAAGACAAUACAGACACAUAUCCAGUUCCAGGUUCAUUCAUAACAUUUCCAGUUGACUGGAACUUCUUAAUUAUUGCCCUGAUGGUGCAAAUGGGCAUUUUCAAUGCUUGUGCUAUUUUCUUAUGGCCACUUCCCAUUUUGUGAAGCUCAACAACCUUUCGCUGCACAUCACAGAUAUGUUCCUUGGUCUUACCCAUUGUUAUGAAUGACUAAGGAACCUUGGCCUAUGUGUUACCUCAUAUUUAUAACCCUGUGAAACAGGAAGUCAUAGUUGAACAAUUUCCUGUUUCUAAUCACCCAGGUAUGAAAGAAAAUAUAAAAUAUCAAUGGGAAUAUACUUCAAAUAUAUUUUUCUCAUAUGAAUUCAUGGGGUGCCAAUAAUUGUUGCACACCUAUAUUUAAUAAAGAUUUUUUUUUUUUUGGAUAAACCUGUGUUUUGUGUUGCAAUUGUUUGAUAUCCAUGAGAGCAGAGUAUUUUUUGUUAAUUUCUAAACAAAAGAUGAAAAGGUUCAACAAUUAAGACAAUUUUUCACAGCCUUCUUUGCUCAUAUUUACCAAGGGUGCCAAAUUUAGUGGUGGGCACUGCAUAUAGGCAUGAAAGAUAAUGGCCUUUCAGGUGUCUUUCCUUGAACAUAAUGUCCUUAUAUAUAUAUAUAUAUAUAUAUAUAUAUAUAUAUAUAUAUAUAUAUAUAUACAUAUACAUAUAUAUAUAUAUAUAUAUAUAUAUAUAUAUAUAUAUAUACACACACACAAACACACAUACAUAUUAUCAAAUAUAGUAAUUAUAGCCGAUGGUCUCAUACAUUAAUACAUUUUUAUUAUUAGUCUAUAGCAGCUCAAUAUAGGUAGAGACUGAAGACAGAUUGACUGGGUGAUUGUUUAUAGCUGUAAGUGGAGGAUUUAAAUGAGCAGAAUUCUGCCAGGAGCUGUGCGUAGUUCCGCCCCUUUAUGCGCUGGUCCUUGUCACAUGUACCUUGCUUUUCACGUUGGUUGGUGUCGCUCUGGCAACCGGAGGUGAGCUCAAAGGGUGCAUGCGAAAGAGUGUGAGUGUGUGCGUAUGCCUGUACAUGUGUAUGCAUUUGCAUACGUAUCUGAGGCAUUUGCUGUAAAUGAGCAUGUGCAAAAUUAAAGCUGUAGGUAUAUUGUGCAUAUGCAUAUAACAAGACCUUUCAACUCCCUGCUACUCCAUUUCCCUGAGGUCAAAUCUCUAUUCAUUACACUUUAAUGCUCCAAAUAUGAUGUGCUGCCCUGUCACAUCCCAGCAUGUUGCGAAAUUAGUCUCAUCCAAAUGUAUAUGGGUUUCUGAGAUUCUAUAUAGGAGCUGAAAACAGAGAUUUUAGUCCUAUAUUCAUUUUUAUUGUAUAAAGAACAAGCAGUAAUAACAUCCAUGUCUUGGCAGUGCAGCCCAGUUGUGCAAUAACCUAAUCUGCUUCCUCAGAUAUCUGGUAGCUGAGCUUUUGUCAGCGUUCUUUUUAGUGUUCGUAUUAAUUACAUUCCUUGGAAGUACCACGGAAAUGAUCUAAAAAAAAAAAAAAUAAGAGAGAGAGAGAGAGAUAAAGGCAACUCUUUGGUAAGAGGUUUAACUCAGCUAACUACAGCACUGAGCAGGUGAGUAAAGCUUGUAAAAGCCCCGAUGAAUGAUUUAGCUCAUUUUAAGUGCUACACUGUACCGUUCUAAAGAUCCGUUAUGCCUUACACUAACCAAGCUGCCCUGAGCUAAUUAUUAAUAUAUUUUUUUCUGCUGUAUAAUCAUAAACAAUUCAGAAUUCCUCUGUAAUACAAAAAACCCGACUCAGUACAGGAGCAAGGCUGCGUGCAUCUAUUAGUGAUGGUUUUAUAGUGUUCAACUGGAACUGACUGUCUGCGUGUCCUUUUGAAUUCUGCAAUGCUCUGCUGAAUUUAGAUUAUGCAAAUGGCCCUCGUGCUAUAAACAAAUUCUUAUAAUUGCACUGAAAAACACCUCGAUCCUGUCAGAUGCCAAAGCCUAAAUAAUACAUUUCACGCUGGUGAAUUAUUCACUUAUAUUAAUUACAAAUAACCGCCAGGACAACAUACUAUAGAGUUGUUCUUAGAAGAUAAUAUAAUCUAGUUCUUUGUUAAAAAAAAAAAAAUACAAGGAGUUCAAAUGAUUAAAAAUGAUUUUUCUUAUAAAUGGGGAAGAAUUUGUUAGAAAUGUCCUCUAGUAGAAAGUAAAUUAUGUGGGUGACACAAAUACUAUUUCACAGUUCCCAGAAGCCCUAAUUAUCUGGGAUAAAUUUAGAUACGACAGAAUUAACAAGAGAAGAUCUUUAAACCCUGGGACUGCCAUCAAAUGUGCGAUAAAUUGGCUUUAUGCUGUUUGUAAGUGGUCGCUGUUGUUUCUAAAUGUCCGCGCCCUCCAAUUAAAUAAUUGAAAUGCCGCACCUGUCACAGGCGCUGGCUACGUCAUGUGGUGAACCGCGCUUACAUUAGAAUCUCGACUUUAUGCAAAUUUGAUGAGCACCACCUCAUGCAUAUAUGCGCUGGUCCCUGGAGCUGCCUGCCUUAAUAUCCUUAUUAGAAGGAGGGGGGAUUAAAAAUUGAUGGCAGAGGUUGGGUAGGCAGAUCACACCCUUCGAUCUGCCCACAAAGUAGUAGUGCAGGGUCUGAAGCUGCUUCCGUGCAACAGUGCUUCCUUCUUUCAAGGUGCCACCAUCUUAAAGGGCUUAGCAGUGACGAGCACGCGGAAGAGGGUAGGGACCUAAAAUGUCCGCUGGCACAGGGCUCGCGCAUCCUCCUCGCUAACGUGCUCACAUCAAUUACGAAAUUAUCCAGUAUCACUGAAGCCAUGCAUGCUGAGCGACUCAUUUACAUGCAUCGACUCACCCUCCCCCGUUACUAUCAGUUUUAUAUGCGAAUGGCUCAUGGCAAGCAGCGGCACGUCUUAUCCAUGCACAACACGCGCCCUUUGCACAAAUGCAGGGUGGAACCCAGUGCAUGUUAUCACAGACUGUAUUCAUCUAGAGCACCUCAUGAUCGCCUGAAAUUCCAAAUGAAUAUAUAUUUGCUACGUGGCCUGUGGCGAAAACCUUGGUAAACCAAUAUACUGAUAUUUAAAUCCGCACACCCUCUAAUCUAACUUUGGAUAAAAAUGAAGGGAUGCCAAUAUCUCGGAUAGAUGCCAAUUGCUGUCAGAUAACGCUCAGCUCAUUUUAACACUGAUUGGACGAGGCUGAAAUUGUCUUAACGGUCUAGGUUUCUCAGCCACAUUUGAGUCAUAGUGUCAUCGCAGUUCUUCCUCACCAAAUUUCUGCUCGCUGUUCUGGCAGGCCAAAUUCACUCCAGUGUCUUAAUUAUUUCAAAGGUGGCUGCUUAAAACAGGGCAGCGCCGCAGCGCCAUUUGCAUUUCGCUUUCAUCUCUGUAAGCCCUCAUGGCACUGUCGAGGCAAGUGUGCGGGAAAUGAGUCCUAAUGCUUGGCUCCGUGCGCCCACACCCAACUCAUACACACACACACACACACACACACACACACAUGCACACAAGAGCUUGUAUUGAAUUGAUGGCAUAUAUGCAGGCAUCCAACAAAAGAGCUACGAACGCACUGAGAGCAUUUCCAUGCUGAGCUUCGUGACAAAAAAAAGGUAGACGCAUAUCUUCUAUGCACAGUGAUGUAAAGACCAGGGUCGGACCCUAUUGUAGCUUGGUCAGGUAAUUGCCAGGGGUGAAUAGAAGCCUGGAAGUGCAGACAAAGUAUUGGGUUCAUUUUCUACUUCUCUUUCUAGAAUGUAUGCCAUGUGGUUUUACUAGCAGCACUCAUACCUGCAAUCACAUGGUAAUGUGCUUCUUUGGAGGUCUGUGAAUUUGCCAUCGAAGGGAAUGCUGGAGAAGAACAAGGUCUUACAUGGGGAAAGUGGAAGUGAGGCAUAGCUACAUUGACCACACAGCUUUGAUACAGUGUAGUUUGCCUUUUGAAUAAACCUGUACUUUUGAUCAUAUGCUGAUUAGUAAUGAUGUCAUGUAUAGCACUGGCUACCAUCAAUCUUUUUUUUUUUUGGUGUAUAUACAGUAUCAACCAAGAAAAUCGUCUAUGUUGGCGACACCUCUGUACGCGCCAUUAUUUUCCGUUCUCCAGUUUGUGCAUGCAUGUAAAUAUCCGUCCGCCUACAUCUCGUAGUCUCACCUCCAGGAAGUCUGGAUCGUGUUGAUUAGUGUGAAAAUGUGCUCCUGGGGUGUUCUGCGAAACUCCCACUCUGUCUCCCUUCCUACCCGUCACUCACUCACUCACUCACUCACUCACUCACACGCACCUUAUGUGUGGAACCCCCUAGACUGCUGAGAUGAGAUGAGUGUAAUUAAAUUCCUGCAUGUGUUAGGCCAGGCCUGUCAGCAGCUAAUAAACGGAGAUGAGGGAGUCUCUUGUACACUGAAAUAAGACAGCGGGGCACGUAGGGCAGCCAAAGGGGAGCCGGGCAGACACUCAGACUGCAACGCAACAUUAUUUCCACACCAUCGGAACAGCAUGUACAUUGGAGCUUGAUAGAUUUUGUGGUAAAUAUUUUUAUAAAGUCGUUACUUAUAUGAUUGUAAAAUCAAUGAUCUAUGCAACAUUUCUUUUAUUGUCACACUACAAAACAUUUCCUCAUGUAUGGAUUUGUGGCUGCUCAACCCUGCAUUUAGUUGCCUCUAUAAAAUAAAAAAA